rnacentral:rRNA from 1 species
GACAGAGGGUGCAAACGUUGUUCGGGAUUACUGGGCGUAAAGCGCGUGUAGGCGGUCGGGCAAGUCGGAUGUGAAAGCCCAGGGCUCAACCCUGGAAGUGCACUCGAUACUGCUCGGCUAGAGUCCCGGAGAGGAUGGUGGAACUCUCGGUGUAGAGGUGAAAUUCGUAGAUAUCGAGAAGAACACCGGUGGCGAAGGCGGUUCUCUGGGCCUUACCUGACGCUGAGGAGCGAAAGCUAGGGGAGCGAACAGG